CUACGUGCCAGCAGCCGCGGUAAUACGUAGGUGGCAAGCGUUGUCCGGAUUUAUUGGGCGUAAAGCGAGCGCAGGCGGUGAUUUAAGUCUGAUGUGGAAGCCCCCAGCUCAACUGGGGAGGGUCAUUGGAAACUGGAUCACUUGAGUGCAGAAGAGGAGAGUGGAAUUCCAUGUGUAGCGGUGAAAUGCGUAGAUAUAUGGAGGAACACCAGUGGCGAAGGCGGCUCUCUGGUCUGUAACUGACGCUGAGGCUCGAAAGCGUGGGUAGCAAACAGGAUUAGAUACCCUGGUAGUCCACGCCGUAAACGAUGAGUGCUAAGUGUUGGAGGGUUUCCGCCCUUCAGUGCUGCAGUUAACGCAUUAAGCACUCCGCCUGGGGAGUACGACCGCAAGGUUGAAACUCAAAGGAAUUGACGGGGGCCCGCACAAGCGGUGGAGCAUGUGGUUUAAUUCGAAGCAACGCGAAGAACCUUACCAGGUCUUGACAUCCUUUGACCGCCCUAGAGAUAGGGUUUCCCCUUCGGGGGCAAAGUGACAGGUGGUGCAUGGUUGUCGUCAGCUCGUGUCGUGAGAUGUUGGGUUAAGUCCCGUAACGAGCGCAACCCUUAUUGUUAGUUGCCAGCAUUGAGUUGGGCACUCUAGCAAGACUGCCGGUGACAAACCGGAGGAAGGCGGGGAUGACGUCAAAUCAUCAUGCCCCUUAUGACCUGGGCUACACACGUGCUACAAUGGGAAGUACAACGAGCAAGCCAAGCCGCGAGGCCUAGCGAAUCUCUGAAAGCUUCUCUCAGUUCGGAUUGCAGGCUGCAACUCGCCUGCAUGAAGCCGGAAUCGCUAGUAAUCGCGGAUCAGCAUGCCGCGGUGAAUCCGUUCCCGGGCCUUGUACACACCGCCCGUCACACCACGAGAGUUUGUAACACCCAAAGUCGGUGCGGCAACCCUUCGGGGAGCCAGCCGCCUAAGGUGGGACGAAU
rnacentral:rRNA from 1 species